UCCGAGCGGACGCCGAAUCCUGCCGCCGCUCGUGAUCCCGCACACUCACCCGUGCACGGCAGGAGCGGGGGACCCACAGGCACCACCGCCUGGUCCGGUCUCCGGAACAGGCUUGGGGUCAAGUCGCGCCCAGCGCGCGGCCGGACAUCUCCAGUCCGCACCCGACAGCUCACCUCGUAGGCGCCGGAGAGGAAUU
rfam:Streptomyces sp. DI166 genome assembly, contig: Ga0115233_1001